GAUAACAGCACGUGGAAAUCAAUGGGUCGUGCAGUGAAGGUCUGCAAAGGCCACGGAUGAGGUUUUUUCUGAUAUUGUUGUUGUGAAAUGAAAACCAGGAAACGGUGGGUGUCAUGGUGAUGUCAUGCAUGGAAUUGAGGGACAUUGCGUAUUUUUUUAAUCUUAGGGAGCACUGUUAGUGCCCACUGUUGUCACUGUGCCUGAAGUCCUGCUAGUCUGAUGUUUCUGAUGAAUUUUUGACAUAUCUCCGAUUGCUGUGGUCAGAAGUUUGAUCAAAAUAAGUUUAUUAGCUCAGCAAUGAAGUGAGGCGAAGACUCUCCAGGCGGAGAGGAGAAGGAUCGAGGACUCUUUUCAACGACCAAGCUUAGGUGCUUUCCCUGUCUUUCAGUUCCGACUACGGUGUUGGAUUUUGUUGACACGUUUGCAGGUACUAGUAUAAUUACCUAAGGCAGUGUAUUUUCUGGUUAUCUAUGUUUGGUCGAUUGUCUUGUAGCCACAAAGGAAUUGAAUUGAAGAGAUAAUGAGGAUCAGGUAUUUACUUUUCUCGAAAACAAACACUUUUAUUGAUUUUGU